UUGCUCCAAUGAUGAAAGGUGACCUCUUCAUGAAAGUUGCCGUUUAGGGAGGAGCCCGCGUACCAUUAGCUUGUUGGCGGGGUAAUGGCCCACCAAGGCUACGAUGGUUAGCUGGUCUGAGAGGAUGAUCAGCCACACUGGAACUGAAACACGGUCCAGACUCCUACGGGAGGCAGCAGUGAGGAAUUUUGCGCAAUGGGGGAAACCCUGACGCAGCAACGCCGCGUGAGUGAAGAAGGCUUUCGGGUCGUAAAGCUCUGUCAAGUGGGAAAAAAGCUUGCCGAUGAAUAGUCGGUAGGUCUGAUGGUACCGCUAGAGGAAGCACCGGCUAACUCCGUGCCAGCAGCCGCGGUAAUACGGAGGGUGCGAGCGUUGUUCGGAAUUAUUGGGCGUAAAGAGCGUGUAGGCGGGUUGGCAAGUCAGAUGUGAAAGCCCUGGGCUCAACCCAGGAAGUGCAUUUGAAACUGCCUUUCUAGAGUAUGGGAGAGGAGAGUGGAAUUCCCAGUGCAGAGGUGAAAUUCGUAGAUAUUGGGAGGAACACCCGUGGCGAAGGCGACUCUCUGGACCAAUACCGACGCUGAGACGCGAAAGCGUGGGGAGCAAACAGGAUUAGAUACCCUGGUAGCCCACGCCGUAAACGAUGAGAACUAGGUGUAGCGGGUAUUGACCCCUGCUGUGCCGGAGCUAACGCAUUAAGUUCUCCGCCUGGGGAGUACGGCCGCAAGGCUAAAACUCAAAGGAAUUGACGGGGGCCCGCACAAGCGGUGGAGCAUGUGGUUAAUUCGACGCAACGCGAAGAACCUUACCUGGGUUUGACAUCCUCUGACAGUCUCGGAAACGGGAUCUUUCCUGCUUGCAGGAACAGAGUGACAGGUGCUGCAUGGCUGUCGUCAGCUCGUGUCUUGAGAUGUUGGGUUAAGUCCCGCAACGAGCGCAACCCUUGUCUUUAGUUGCCAGUAUUAAGUUAGGCACUCUAAAAAUACUGCCUCGGAUAACGGGGAGGAAGGUGGGGAUGACGUCAAGUCCUCAUGGCCUUUAUACCCAGGGCUACACACGUGCUACAAUGGGCUGUACAAAGGGUUGCUAUCCCGCAAGGGAACGCCAAUCCCAAAAAGCAGUUCUCAGUUCGGAUUGGAGUCUGCAACUCGACUCCAUGAAGUCGGAAACGCUAGUAAUCGUGGAUCAGCAUGCCACGGUGAAUACGUUCCCGGGCCUUGUACACACCGCCCGUCACACCACGAAAGUUGGCUGUACCAGAAGUUGCUGGGCUAACCCUUAUGGGGAGGCAGGUACCCAAGGUACGGUUGAUAAUUGGGGUGAAGUCGUAACAAGGUA
rnacentral:rRNA from 1 species